AGACGUCUCUUGCCGUUCCAAAUCGGUGUCUAGCAGGCAGCGGUGGGCAUCGCGAGGCCUCGGAGACUCGUGCGAUGCCGACUCUUCGGGCACCGAGAGCAGCGAGUGUGCCAGUGAAGGUGAGGUGGAUGGCAGGGUCACUAGGCUUCAGGGAGGAUCAGGCGUCGGUCCACCUUGGAUGAAAACGACAUUGACGAGGAGACCAUGUCCGGCGAUCGAGAUGUAGAACAUCAGCAUGGCUCCCGACACAGUGCCAGUGGCGGAAGCAGUGGUGCCAGUGGCAGCUGCUGUCACUGGUGGAAUCUUGGUGCCACGGGCAGCAGUGGAUCCGCAGCCGGGAUCCAUGGCCGACCCUAGCCGGGAGGGCUGCUCGUCGGCUGCUGCAUCCCGUGAGGAAGACGACGAGUCUGUGCUCUUGCGCCUGCUCGAGCUGCAAGACCGCCGGGGUGUGGCAGCCGCUGCAACGCCGCUGCACCAGUGCCGUUCGAGCUGGAACCGUAAGGGAGCCU